rnacentral:lncRNA from 1 species
UUUUUUUUAAAGAUUUUAUUUACUUAUUCAUGAUAGACACAGAGAGACAGAUCGAGAUUGGGGCGGGAACAGAGACACAGGCAGAGGGAGAAGCAGGCCCCAUGCAGGGAGCCCGACAUCGGGACUUGAUCCUGGGUCUCCAGGGUCACGCCCUGGGCCAAAGGCAGGGGCCAAACCGCUGAGCCACCCAGGGAUCCCAGCUUAAUAAUUUUAAAAGUCUCUUUCUUAUUUAAUAUCUCAACAACACAGAGAGGUAGUCAGGUGAUACUCUGUUCAUUUUGUUAGAAGUUGGGUCCUUGAAUCCUUCCCUACUGGCCUACUGACCACCACAUGAUGUGUGCCUGUAGUCAUAAUUAAUAGAUUGCUCAUUCAUCCCUUAUCAACGGAAAGAUGUGUAAAUGAAAAAAAAAAGUCAAAUUAAACAAUUGUUUGGACUAAAUCAAAUCACUUUCAAUUGAAUAUAAAUAUCCCAAAGAUGCUCACUUUUGUCUCAGCUUUCUGGGCUGUUCCUCAUCCUCACUGUACCGUGCAAGCUUGAACAGUCUUGUCACACACAUUUCCUUAAAGCAAAGUGCCUAUUUUCCUUCCGUUGGAAAAAAAAAAAUGGUUUUUGACUUCUUGUUUAUGAUUUGAAAUUAACCUCACUUUUAAAUAUUUCCUAUGUCCUGCCUCCCAAGCGAAUUCCAGAAGAGAUAAAGGCACAAAAAUUAAAGUCCAUGAACCCAAAGUAAAAAGGAUGUGGAAUCUUACUUGUGAAGGAACAUAACUUUAAAAGCACGCCCCCUGCUGGAGGAGUGGUGACAUGGCAUCUGGAAAUGAAUAAAAUUAGAACCCUGUAGUCGUGUUGCCAGUCCAAUCUGAUACCCAUAAGGCUUUAUUAUCAUUUAAGGGCCCCUAAAAUUAUAGGUCUUUCUGCCUGUUCAGAUUAACAUCAGUCACAUAGUCCAGAAAACGCAGAGUUCAAAAAUAAUAUAACACAUGAAUGAGUUAUCUGUAGAUAUAAAAUUCCAUCUUAGACCAAGGGAUUUCUUUCACAAAUUAUUUAG